AGAGGAUGCUAGUGAGUGAGAGGCAGAGACAGAGAGAUAAUCCCAUGAGGGGCAGAACUAGACAAGUGGCUCACCCGAAGCCCGGCUCGCGUUUACAUGAAGUGGGGCUUGGACUCCCGAACCAUGACAUCAUAACCUGAGCCGAAGUCAGAUGCUUAACCAACUGAGCCACCCAGGAACCCGAUAAGUUCUUUAUAGAUUUUGAACACUAACCUGUAUCCAGUAUGUCACUUGCAAAUAUCUUCUCCCAUUCUAAAAAGUCAGUUGCCUUUUAGUUUUGUUGAUUAUUUCCUUAGCUGUGCAGAAGCUUUUCAUCUUGAUGAGGUCCUGAUAGUUCAUUUUUGCUUUUGUUUCCCGUGCCUUCUGAGACAUGUCUAGUAAGAGGUUACUGUGGCCAAGGUGAAAGAGGUUGUUGCCUGCUUUCUCUAGAAUUUUGAUGGUUUUCUGCCUCAUGUUUAGGUCUUUCAUCCAUCUUGAAUUUAUUUCUGUGUAUGGUGUAACAAAGUGGUCCAGAGUCAUUCUUCUACAUGUCGCUGUCCAGUUUUCCCAGCACCAUUUGCUGAAGAGACGGUCUUUAUUCCAUUGGAUAUUCUUUCCUGCUUUGUCAAAGUUUAGUUGACCAUACGUUUGUGGGUCCAUUUCUGUGUUCUCUAUUCUGUUCCAUGGAUCUUUGUGUCUGUUUUUGUGCCAGUACCAUACUGUCUUGAUGAUCACAGCUUUGUAAUAUAGCUUGAAGUCUGGGAUUGUGAUGCUUCCUGGUUUGGUUUUCUUUUUCAACAUUACUUUGGCUAUUUGGGGUCUUCUGUUGUUCCAUACAAAUUUUAGGAUUGUUUGUUCUAGCUCUUAGAAGAAUGCUGGUAUUAUUUUGGUAGGGUUUGCGUUGAAUGUGUAGAUUGCUUUGGGUAGUAUGGACAUUUUAACAAUAUUUGUUCUCCCUUUUGUGAGCAUGGAAUGUUUCUCCAUUUCUUUGUGUCUUCUUCAAUUUCUUAAGCUUUCUGUACUUUUCAGAGUACAGAUCUUUUACCUCUUUGGUUAGGUUUAUUUCAAGGUUUCUUACGGUUUUUGGUGCAAUUGGGAUCGAUUCUGUGAUUUCUCUUUCUGCUCUUUCAUUAUUGGUGUGCAAAAAUGUACCUGAUUUCUGUACAUGGAUUUCAUAUCCUGAGACUUUGCUGAAUUCAUGUAUCAGUUCUAGCUGUUUUUUGGUGGAAUUUUUCCUUGUAGAAUAUUAUGUCCUCUGUGAAGAGUGAAAGUUUGACUUUUUCUUUGCCAAUUUGUAUGCCUUUUAUUUCUUUUGAUUGCUGAGGCUAGGACUUCAGUACUAUGUUGAACAACAGUCGCGAGAGUUGACAUCCCUUUUGUGUUCCUGACUGUCGGGGGACAGCUCUCAGUUUUUCCUCAUUGAGGAUGAUAUUAGCUGUGGGCCUUUCAUAUAUAUAUGGCUUUUAUGAUGUCGAGGCAUGUUCCUUCCAUCCCUACUUCUUGAGGGUUUUUAUCACGAAAGGAUGUUGUGUUUUGUCAAAAGCCUUUUCUGCAUCUAUUGAAAGGAUCAUAUGGUUCUUUUUCUUUUAUUAAUGUGGUGCAUCAUACUGAUUGAUUUGCGAAUAUUGAACCAGCCCUGCAGCCCAGGAACCCACUUGAUCAUGGUGAAUAAUUCUUUUAAUGUCCUUUUGAAUUCAGUUUGCUAGUAUGUUGUUGAAAAUUUUUCCAUCCAUGUUUAUCUGGGAUAUUGGCCUGUAAUUCUCCUUUUUAGUGGGGUGUUUGUCUGGUUUGGGAAUCAAGGUAAUGCUGGCUUCAUAGAAUGAGUUUGGAAGCUUUCUUUCCAUUUCUGCUUUUUGGAACAGUUUGAGAAUAGGUAUUCUUUCAGUGUCUGAUAGAAUUCUCCUGGGAAGCCAUCUGGCUCAGGAUUCUUCUAUGUUGGGAGAUUUUUGAUAACUCAUUCAAUUUCUUUGCUGGUUGUGGGCCUGUUCAAAUUUUCUGUUUUUUCUUGUUUGAGUUUUGGUAGUGUCUAAGUGCCUAGGAAUUUAUUUCUUUCAGAUUGUCUAGUUGGUUGGCAUAUAAUUUUUCAUAGUGUUCUCUUAUAAUUGCAUUUCUGUGGUGUUGGUUGUGUUCUCUCCUCCAUCAUUGGUGAUUUUAUCUAUUUGGGUCCUCCUUUCAUUUUGAUAAGUCUGGAAUGUCGUGUUUUCAUUGUAAUUUGCUCUCAUGUAUUUUUAAAUUUCUUCAGUUUCCUGGUUGACCUAUUCAUUCUUUAUUAGGAUGUUCUUUAACCUCCAUGUAUUUGAGGGCUUUCUAAAUUUUUUCUUCUGGUUGAUUUAAAGAUUCAUAGUGUUGUGAUCUGAAUAUAUUCAUGGUAUGAUCUCAGUCUUUUUGUACCUGUUGAGGGCUGAUUUGUGAUCCAGUAUGUGAUCUGUUCUGGAGAAUGUUCCAUGUGCAUUGGAGAAGAAUGUGCAUUCUGCUGCUCUAUGAUGAAAUGUUCUGAGUAUAUCUGUUAAGACCAUCUGGCCCAGUGUGUCAUUGAAAGACAUUGCUUCUUUGUUGAUUUUCUGCUUAGAUGAUUUUUUCAUUGCUGUAGGUGGGGUAUUAAAGUCUCCUACUAUUGUGGUAUUAUUAUCUAUGAGUUUCUUUAUGUUGGUGAUUAACUGAUUUAUAUGCUUUCAUGUUGGGGGCAUAAAUAUUUACAAUGAUUAGGUGUUCUUGAUGGAUAUACCCACUAAUUAUGUUAUAAUGAUCUUUUUUGUCUCUUAUUACAGUCUUUGUUUAAAAAAAUUUUUUUAAUGUUUAUUCAUUUUUUUUUUUUGAGUGAAACAGAGUGCGAGUGGGAGAGGGGCAGGGAGAGGGAGAGGGAGAGACAGAAUCCCAAGCAUGCUCCAGGCUCUGAGCUGUCAGCACAGAGCCCGACAUGACGCGGGGCUCUAGCCCAUGAACCCAUGAACCACGAGAUCAUGACCUGGGCUGAAGUCAGACGCUUAACUGACUGAGCCAGCUGCUCCUACAGUCUUUGUUUUAAAAUCUAGUUUGUGUGGGAGCACCCAGAUGGCUCAGUUGGUUUAAGUGUCUGACUUUGGCUCAGGUCAUGAUCUCACAGUUUCUGAGCCUGCCUCAGAUUCUGUUUCCUCUUCUCUCUCUGCCCCUCCCCCACUUGUGCUCUUGUGCACGCUCUCUCUCAAAAAUGAAUAAAUAAACAUUUAAAAAAUAAAAUAAAAUCUAGUUUGUUUGAUGUAAGUAUGGUUAUUCCCACUUUAUUUUGAUCUCCAUUAGUGUGAUAGGUGGUUCUCUAUCCCCUCACUUUCAAUCUGUUGGUGUCCUUAGGUCUAAAAUGAGUCUGUUGUAGACAGCAUAUAGAUGGAUCUUAUUUUUUUAUCUAUUCUGAUAGCCUGUGUCUUUUAAUUGGAGCAUUUAGUCUAUUUACAUUCAGAGUGAUUGUUGAAUGAUAUGAAUUUAGUGCCAUUGUGUUAUACGUAGGUUUAGUGUUUCUGGUGAUGUUCUCUGUGGUCUUUGAUGCUCCCCAAUCUUUUUUUUUUUUUUUUUUAAACAUCUUCCACCCAGACUCCCCCUUAAAAUUUCCUGCAGGACUAGUUUAGUGGUCACAAACCCCUUUAGUUUUUGUUUGUCUGGGAAGGUCUUUAUCUCUCCUUCUAUUCUGAAUGACAGCCUUGCUGGAUUAAGGAUUCUUGGCUGCACAUUUUUUGUAUUCAGCAUAUUGAAUAUUUCCCAUCACUCCCUCCUGGUUUGCCAAGUUUCUUUGGACAGGUCUGCUAUUAACCUUAUGUGUCUAUCGUUGUAGAUUAAGGACGUUUUGUCCCUAGCAGCUUUCAGAAUUCUCUGUUUAUCUUUGUAUAUUGUAAGUUUCACUAUGAGAACUCAUGAUGUUGUCCUGUUUUUGAUGGUUUUGAAGGAAGUUCCCUGUGCCUCUUGUCCUUAGGUGCCUGUUUCCUUCCCCAGAUUAGGGAAGUUCUUAGCUAGAAUUUGUUCAAAUAAACUUUCUGUCCCUUUUUCUCACUCUUCCUGGGACUCCUAUGAUAUGAAUAUUAUUUCAUUUCAUGGAAUCACUUCGUUUUCUAAAGUCUCUCUUCAUGAUCUAGCUACUUCCUUUCCCUUUUUUUAAAAAAAAUUUUUCUUUAACGUUUAUUUAUUUUUGAGACAGAGAGAGACAAAGCAUGAACGGGGGAGGGUCAGAGAGAGGGAGACACAGAAUCUGAAACAGGCUCCAGGCUCUGAGCUGUCAGCACAGAACCUGAUGCGGGGCUCGAACUCACGGACCGCGAGAUCAUGACCUGAGCCAAAGUCAGCCACUUAACCGACUGAGCCACCCAGGUGCCCCAUUUCCCUCUUUUAUAAAUCUUCAUUAUUUUCCAUAAUUUUAUCUUCUAUUUCACCUAUUCUCUCCUCUGUUUCAUUGGUCCUCGCUGUCCCUGUAUCCUGUUUGUUUUGCAUCUCAGUUAUAGCAUUUUUAAAUUCAUCCUAACUAGUUCUUUGAUCUUUGAUCUCUGCAGCAAAAGUUUCUCUGGUGUCUUCUAUGUUUUUUGUUUUUUUUUUUUAAUUCUCUCGUUAGUUAACACAGAGUGAUACAGCGUAGUCUUGGCUUCACGAGUAUAACCCAGUGAUUCAUCACUUACCUAUAACCCCCAGUGCUCAUCCCAACAAGUGCCCUCCUUAAUGCCCGUCACCCAUUUAACCUACCCCCCCCCCACCUCCCCUAUGCGUUUUUUCAAGCCUAGCUAGUAGGGUUAUGACUUUGGUUCAAAAUCUUGUUCAUAUAUAUAUUUUUAAUAUCUGUUUUGAGCAAGUCCCUGGCUGUGAUUUAUUUUUGAUUUUUCUUUUGUGGAGAAUUCCUGCGUCUUGUCCUUUUGGCUAAAUUUCCAUCUUUUGUGUGUAUUUAAAUCUUAUGUUUCCUGCACCUGAGAGUACAACUAUAUUAAAAAGGGGUCAUACACUGACGAGGGCCUGGCACUCCACAGAGUGCUUCUGGUGUAUGCUGUGUGCACUGUGCUGUUGUGAUUUGGCUGCUCUUUCCCACUGGUCAGUCUUCUGGAGAGCUCCUCCUUGCUUGCAGUGGUGAAGUGUUUGGACCUUUAACCAGGUGUGCUUUGAUUUUUUUUGUUGUUGUUGUUGAAGUAAGUCUGGAAAAAAAAUAACGGGGAACAGGGAGCUGGAUCCUAUAAAAUGAGAAAAGGAACAACAAUAACAAAAAACAGAGAAUCAAAAGUAUACAUCAGAUUCUAAGAAAAAAGAAAGGAAAAAAAGCAGAAAAAAAGAGAAAAGGAAGAAGAAUUUAAAAAGCUUCGAUAAAAAUAAAAUGACAAAAAAAAAAAAAA